rnacentral:lncRNA from 1 species
UGACAAGCAUUAAGCAUAGCCAAGUAGUAGCAACAUCAAUCUAGAACAUAGUGGAUACUAGGGAUCAAUCCCCGUCAAGAACUAACUCAAUUACAUGAUACAUCUCAUCCAACUCAUCACCGUCCAUCAAGCCUCCGAUGAGAUUACUCACGAACGAUGAAGAGCAUCAUGGAAUUGUCGAUGGAGAAAGGUUGAUGAUGACGAUGGCGACGAUUUCCCCUCUCCGGAGUCCGAAACGGACUCCAGAUCUGCCCUCCAGAUGAAGAACAGGAUGUGGCGGUGCCUCCGUAUCGCAAAACGCGAUGAAACCUUCUCUCUCAUUUUUUCCGGGCAAAACGGAAGAUAUAGAGCUGAGUUUGGGGGCGGUGGUGCCACGUGAGCCCCACAAGCCUGCACGGCGCGGCCAUAGGGGUGGCCGCGGUCUGUGCAUUGUGGUCCACUGGCACGCCCCCUCCGGAGGAUCUUUGCGCACAUAUUUUUCUUUUAUUACAGAAAAAAUCUCCGUAAAUUUUCAGGACAUUCCGAGAACUUUUAUUUCUGCACAAAAACAACACCAUGGCAAUUCUGCUGAAAACAGCGUCAGUCCGGGUUAGUUCCAUUCAAAUCAUGCAAAUUAGAGUCAAAAACUAGGGUAAAAGAGUUCGGAAAAGUAGAUACGACGGAGAUGUAUCAACUCCCCCAAGCUUAAAGCCUUGCUUGUCCUCAAGCAAUUCAGUUGACAAACUGAAAGAGACAAAAGAAAAACUUUGACGAACUCUGUUUGAUCUUGUUGUUGCAACUAUGUCUAACUCAUAACCAGAGUUUCAGCAAGAUCACAAGCAAACCACAAAAGCAAAUGACAUCUAGGUCUCACGCUAAACUCAUAUCAAUGGCAUAAUCAACUAGCGAGCAAAUAAUAAUAAGCCUCAAAUGUCAACACUUCAAUCAAAACAACAUGAAGCAGUACGAAUAGAUGGUAUCUCGCUAGCUCUUUCUGAGACUGCACAACAUAAAUGCAGAGCACCUUCAAAGACCAAGGGCUGACUAAACAUCAUAAUUCAUGGCAAUGAAGAUCCAGUCAUAGUCAUACUCAACACAGUUAAAAGCAAAGCAUAAAAAUGACAGAGGUGCUCUCUAAUUGGUUCUUUUGUAAGAGGAGGAUGACUCAACAGGAACACAAAUAGACAGGCCCUUCACAGAGGGAAGCAUUGAUUUGCAGAGGUGCCAGAGCUCAAGCUUUUGAAAACAGAGAUAAUAAUUUUGGGUGGCAUGCUUUCAUUGUCAACGCAAUGACUAAGAGUUCUCAACAUCUUCCACGCUACACAUGCUAUAGGCGGUUCCCAAACAGAAAAGUAAAGUUUUGACUCCCCCACCACCAGUCAAUCACACUCCACGGCUAGCCGAAUCCUCGGGUACCGUCCAAACCAACAUCAAUCCUGGGGGAGUUUUGUUUGCAAUUAUCUUUUCGAUUUGAGUAUGGAACUGGGAAUUCCAAUUACCGUCCCCUUUCUCGUGAAUGAUAGUGAAUAAACACAUAUCAAGGAUAACACGCCUAGCAUGGAAGAUACCAAUAGCCCCCUGUCACCACAUGAGCGGUUCGGGCAUGCAAA